AGGACGAACGCUGGCGGCGUGCUUAACACAUGCAAGUCGAGCGGAAAGGCCCUUCGGGGUACUCGAGCGGCGAACGGGUGAGUAACACGUGAGUAAUCUGCCCCUAGCUCUGGGAUAGCUCCGGGAAACCGGGAUUAAUACUGGAUACGACCACCUUAGACAUCUUUUGUGGUGGAAAGAAUUUCGGCUAGGGAUGAGCUCGCGGCCUAUCAGCUUGUUGGUGGGGUAACGGCCUACCAAGGCGACGACGGGUAGCCGGCCUGAGAGGGCGACCGGCCACACUGGGACUGAGACACGGCCCAGACUCCUACGGGAGGCAGCAGUGGGAAUAUUGCGCAAUGGGCGAAAGCCUGACGCAGCGACGCCGCGUGGGGGAUGAAGGCCUUCGGGUUGUAAACCCCUUUCAGCAGGGACGAAGCGAAAGUGACGGUACCUGCAGAAGAAGCGCCGGCUAACUACGCGCCAGCAGCCGC
rnacentral:rRNA from 1 species